rnacentral:rRNA from 1 species
AACGAACGCUGGCGGCAGGCUUAACACAUGCAAGUCGAACGGGUGUAGCAAUACAUCAGUGGCAGACGGGUGAGUAACACGUGGGAACCUUCCUAGGGGUACGGAACAACUCAGGGAAACUUGAGCUAAUACCGUAUACGUCCGUAAGGAGAAAGAUUCAUCGCCCCUAGACGGGCCCGCGUCGGAUUAGGUAGUUGGUGGGGUAACGGCCUACCAAGCCUACGAUCCGUAGCUGAUCUGAGAGGAUGAUCAGCCACACUGGGACUGAGACACGGCCCAGACUCCUACGGGAGGCAGCAGUGGGGAAUCUUGGACAAUGGGCGCAAGCCUGAUCCAGCCAUGCCGCGUGAGUGAAGAAGGCCUUAGGGUUGUAAAGC